ensembl:lncRNA
GGAAAAUGUACAUUUUAUAACAGGCGCCUGUCUUUUGAAUCUUCCUUAAAAUGCAUUUUGCUGAGCACUUAUCACCCUACUCUUGAAGUCAAGGUGGGAUGGGGGGAGAAAAAUGCUCUUUUGGAUUUUUCCCUUCUAGUUUUGUGUCUGAAUUGAUUUUUGUUUGUUUUUCCCUUAAGUUGGUUGCCAUUUGCUUUUUUUUUUUUUUUUUUAAGACAUUUUCUUGUUUGUUUUGUCCUCUUCUUAAGCACGUAGAAUACUUCUGAAACUUUCCAAGGUGAACUUUAAAAAUCUAGCCAUAGUUUAAAUAUUUAGACAUGGAUAUAGUUCUUAUCUGGAGGCUUCCCAGGUGGCUCUAGUGGUAAAGAACCUGCCUGCCAACACAGGAGACAUAAGAGACACAGAUUUGAUCCCUGGGUUGAGAAGAUCCCCUGGAGGAGGGCAUGGCAACCCAUUCCAGUAUUCUUGCCUAGAGAACCGAUGGCCUGGCAGGCUCCAGUCCAUAGGGUUGCACAGAGUUGGGGGACCCCUUCCAGGGCCUGAAACUGGGCUUUUGUCUAACUCAGAAAUGAACUGUCCGAGGAGACACAUGUGCUCACAAAGCAAGAGAUUUUAUUGGGAAAGGGCACCCAGGCAGAGAGCAGGAGGGAAAGGGCACCCGGGCGGAGAGCAGGAGGGUAAGGGAACCCAGGAGAAUAGCUCUACCAGCUCUGCAGUCUGGGGUUUUAUGGUGGUGGGAUUAGUUUCCGGGUUGUCUUUAGCCAAUCAUCUGACUCAGAGUCCUUCCUGGUGGUGCAUGCCUUGUUCAGCCAAGAUGGAUGCCAGAGAGAAGGAUUCUGGGAGGUGGUCGGACACGUGGUGUCUCCUUUUGACCUUUCCCGAACUCUUCUGGUUGGUGGAAGCUUAUUAGUUCUGUGUUCCUUACGAGGACCUCCUGUCGUGAAACAACUCAUGCAAAUGGUUACUAUGAUGCCUGGCCAGGAUGGGUGGUUUCAAUCAGUGUGCUUCCCCUAACAGAUAUAGUUCUUAUCUGGGAGUUUCCCAGGUGGCUCUAGUGGUAAAGAACCUGCCUGCCAAUGCAGGAGACAUAAGAGAUGCAGAUUUGAUCCCUGGGUUGAGAAGAUCCCCUGGAGGAGGGCAUUGCAACCCAUUCCAGUAUUCCUG